ACAAACACUUUUUUUGGGGGAGAAACAAGAAGUUGCGACCGGCCCGGUCGACUCCACUGGAACAACUGGACGCACUCACACCAAAGUCGGCUGGCGCUCGGUGGAGCCGAACAGGAGGAAGACGAAGGCGUCGAUGACCAAUAUGGAAGAGCACAGAAGGAAAGCGAUCCGCCAUUGACUCAGAGUUUGCUGGAGUGUGAUGGAAAUGAUUGUGUUAUUAUUAUAUUAUUCUUUCAAAACCAUAAAAACUCAUCGACUUGUUAUUUUUUUUACCUGGGCUUCCGUCAAUGAAGCAACCACCAGAGGCGCUAGCCAACUGUUAACGGAAGCCAAACCGCUAAUUAUUCCGUAGAUUGUCCCUGAGAAAUUCGGCGCCAUGUCCAAAUGGUUGAUGAGAAAACCGCUAUUAAAUGAUCAUUCCGUUUUUCUUU